UUAUUAUAUUCGGAAUAACCAAUGGUAUUCCAAAUUAAUUUGUGUCUACGGGGGCAUUGUUUGGGUAAAAACCCAACCAGGUCCCUCAUUUUGGUUCUGUCUGGAUGGGCCCUAAAUUACUAAGCCGCCUCUGAAUCUUAGCAGGAUAGGAUUCCCUGACAAUGCAUGGCAGGAACAAAGGGAUUCUCAAGUAGGAAAAAAGGUAAUAUGAAGCUUCCUGUUUUGGAAGGAUGUUUGAGAAACCUGGCUUUUGGUUCAUUCCUAACAGAGAAAGUUGUCAUCCAAUUCUCAAUUUGUUUCUAUCCUAAGAUCAAAGAUCCUUUGAAACUCUAAAAUGCCAACGAUGCAGGGAUUAAAAAGGCAAAUUCUCACAUUGUGGACUCUGUAAAAAUCUUCCUCUUUCAGAAGUAAUUUCCAUGAACAGUGACUAACAAAUCUUUUGUUUUAGCAACCUCCACUUGGAUGUUGGCACCAAAACCACGGAGAUAGGAGGAAGAUGAUUCUUGUAUCACUCUCAUUCCUUCUGGGCGUCUACUUGCGUGAGGAAAAGGCUAGUCAUGGUCAAAAUAUGUCCCCAAAUCAUUUAAGGAAGGUGUGGAAAGUGCUCUGAUCCCUCUUUGACUGCUAUGGCAGCCACCUAUGGAAUCCUGGGAUUGAGACUUUGCUCAGAAGCACCAGAAGAACUCCCUGGCUGAGGACUGUAGAUGUCUGUUAUGGUUUGUAAAGACACUGUAAUGUAUGUGUUUACUGGAAAACUACGUGUAAGAAACUGAUUGGCUGAACCUGCAAAGAGCUGGGAAUUUGAUUUGAUACUUUUUUUGUCAUGCUGCAGGAGAACCAGUUUGAGCAGAUUUACCUCAGAGAGAGAUACAGCUUGGAGACAAAAUGGCUGCCUACUCUCUGAGGCCUUGAUAUUUCUGAGGCUCUGAAGAUUUAUGGACUUUAAAAAGACAGUUCAUGACUAUUGACCUCUGUAAGCAAUCAGAGGAACUAUUGUAAAUAUAUAUAUAUAUAUAUAUAUAUAUAUAUAUAUAUAUAUAUAUAUAUCCCUUUUUAUUUUCAGGGAACAUGUUUCGAAGGAUGUGGAUACCGCCAUCAGAAAAUUUCAAGUAUUUUAAAUAAUCUGAAUUACACAUGUUUGUGUGUAUUGAAUUUAUGUAUAUAAGUAAAUUAUUAGCUAUUUUGUCAAGAUAAAAAAUCUUUGAAAAGAAAAUGAGUAAAGGUUAAUAUGCUUAGUUACAUGUGAACAAAUUGGCUUUGAAUUUUAAAAGAUAUAGAUUAAAUCUAUUUAAGAAAGUUGCUAUGGGGUUAAAUAUAGGGUAAGGUAUAAAGGGAUAUUGUUGACUUCCAAUCUCUGCCACUAGCUGUCUUGUUUACAAAUAAAAUUCUUCUUUUGUUGAA